AGGGAUGUGGCUCAGUGGUAGAGAGCUUGUUUGGCAUGCAAGAAACCCAGGGUUUGAUUCCUAGCACUG
rfam:Ictidomys tridecemlineatus contig090236, whole genome shotgun sequence.